AUUAGAAUUAAAUUAAUGUGGUUGACUAAUCCUGCCAGUUAAAACUCUGCAGGUACAAUGUAGUUUUGAUGUUGCAGAACAUGGAUCUUGUUAUGGUGCACGGGGAAAAGCUGCUGAUAUUUGUGAUCUACCCUGUUUUUGAAAGUUAUAUAAAGCAAUCAGAACAGCAGAACUGGCAUAAACCUGUUUCAGCUGCUUGAUAUUAAUGCUUGAAGGGAA
rnacentral:lncRNA from 1 species